rnacentral:lncRNA from 10 species
UCUAAAGAUGAUGCAGGAGCCAGAACUAGGGGCUGGAUAAUGGAGAAGCUUGCAUGCUAAACUUAUUACGAACUUUAUUUUGAAAGUAGUGGAACGUUAUUGGACCACUUCAAAAGCGGAGUGUUACGUUCAGGCUUGAAUUUUAGAAAUAUCUGUCUGGUAGCCAUGUGCAGGUUGGUUGGAAAGGGAGGCAUCAGACAGGAGACGAAUGAGAAAGCUGUUGCAGUCAUCUGGGACCCCUAUUUGUGACCAAUUGUAAGAUCAUCUGAAGAUCGAGUCCGAUUGCCUGGCCAGGCCGGGCUGGGUGGUAUGUGCCCCCGUCACGCCGGAGGUUCCUGCUUUAGCGACGCCAAAGAUUGGGUGUGAGGGCAGCCCGCGGUGACAGAGACACGGAUCGGACCGAGAGAAAAAGGCUGUGGGCUUCACUGAGCAGAGUGACGAAUUUCAACCCUUCUUGCUACAUUCAAGACAUAGAAAUCCAGCCAGAAGACAACUCGAGAUAUUUUGUGGAUCUAUGCCUUUCCUUCAGAAAAGCAAAUAUCUACCAUAAAAAAACACUGGUCCAAUAUUCACUUCUAUAAGAAAUGCAGGGGCAAAUAAAUUAUGGAUUUUAUUAUCGCUAAUAGAGUCACUUAACCAUUACUCCUUACUACAUUCUGCUUUUCUAACAAAAUUUCGACUGAAUAUUCUCCCUCAGAGCCUCCAAAAGGAACCAACUGAUGACAACUGAUUUUGGACUUCUGGCCUCCUGAACUAUAACAAAAUAAACAUCUGUUGUUUUAAGCAAGCCAGGUUGUGAUUGUUACAGAAGCUCUAGGAAACUAAAAUACUUAAUAUCUAAGUAUCUUAAAACUAAGAUACCUUCUUAUACCUUCUUAUCAUGCGAUCAUAGAAAAUAUGUCCAAUUAGUCACAAGUGGGAUUGGGCAAGAGAAGAUGGAUAAGGGGUGUAAAUCCUUCACCACAAUUAAGAAAUUAUACGUAGAAAUUGCAUUCUAUUGGUGAAGCAAUAAAAUCAUUGUUGGGAAUAAGAACAGCAUUACAGUGUGGUGGCUCAAACCUGUACUCCCAGCAAUUUGGGAGGCUGAGGCAGGCGAUUCA